rnacentral:rRNA from 1 species
UGAUCGAGUGGCGGACGGGUGAGUAACGCGUGGGUAACCUGCCUCAUACAGGGGAAUAACAGUUGGAAACGGCUGCUAAAACCGCAUAAGCGCACAGUAUCGCAUGAUACAGUGUGAAAAACUCCGGUGGUAUGAGAUGGACCCGCGUCUGAUUAGCUAGUUGGUGAGGUAACGGCCCACCAAGGCAACGAUCAGUAGCCGGCCUGAGAGGGUGAACGGCCACAUUGGGACUGAGACACGGCCCAAACUCCUACGGGAGGCAGCAGUGGGGAAUAUUGCACAAUGGGGGAAACCCUGAUGCAGCGACGCCGCGUGAGUGAUGAAGUAUUUCGGUAUGUAAAGCUCUAUCAGCAGGGAAGAUAAUGACGGUACCUGACUAAGAAGCACCGGCUAAAUACGUGCCAGCAGCCGCGGUAAUACGUAUGGUGCAAGCGUUAUCCGGAUUUACUGGGUGUAAAGGGUGCGUAGGUGGUGAGACAAGUCUGAAGUGAAAAUCUCGGGGCUUAACCCCGGAACUGCUUUGGAAACUGCCUGACUAGAGUACAGGAGAGGUAAGUGGAAUUCCUAGUGUAGCGGUGAAAUGCGUAGAUAUUAGGAGGACACCAGUGGCG